CUCAGGGAAGAUGAGGCCAAGAAUAAAAGGAUAGCAGUGGAGCAAGAAUGUGUUGGGUUUGUUGGAGAGCUAUAGCCGUAGAGUAUUGACUAAUGGAUCUUGAGCCCUGCUGAGGGAGGUCUCUACUGGAGUACUAAAAAGGCCUUCUCUUGCCUCUGUCUAUUUCAACAUUUUCAACUUAGAUGAAGACAUGGAAGGAGACUUAAACCACUAUUGCACAAUAUCUAAAAUAACGAAGAUGGGACACAAGUCAUGAAAAGAAAAAAGCAUCAAUAGGAAAAGUAAAGUGUUUGCACAAAGGCACGAGCAAUGGAUUUUAUAGGUCAUAGUUAAUGGAACCUGGUUGAAUGGCAUCGAUGAGAUCCAGAACGGGCAAACUUGUACUAAUCUUUGGGUCCUGCACAGAGAGAACGAAUUUUUUGGUGAAGAAGCCCAAGGGAAGCAAAAUGCAGAGAUUUGAGUUUCGCCUUCUUUCUCUGCCCACAAUCUUGUGAAGGUGCUGACAGGCAGAGAAAUGGCCAGCAACUGGCAGCACAGAAAGAUGGGGAAGAAAAGGCACCCGGGAACCUCAAUGCUAUGUAUGCCUAAGAAAGCCGGGGCAGAGCCUCGGAAACAACCAAGACUGCUGGCUCAGAAUGCUCUGCUGGGUCUGUUAGACCACAUUUCAUGAGAUGACAACAUUUUUGCUUUUAAGAGAUCAAUUUUGUAAUAAUGACAAUGUUCUCUUGUCUAUUCCCAUAAGUGUUUUAUAUUUCAAAUGCUUACCUGAAUAAUUAUAGCAUCUUAAAAAAUAUAAUCAACUCUUUCCUCUAUGUUUCCCAGAUGAAUAAAUAUUUCUUGCUCAGCCAGAAGGUUUAAAUUUA